rnacentral:rRNA from 1 species
GUUUAUGACCAUGCUACCCUGAACAAGCCUGAUCCUGUCUGAUCUCGGAAGCUAAGCAGGGUCGGGCCUGGUUAGUACUUGCAUGGGAGACCACCUAGGAAGACCAGGUGCUGUAGGCA